rnacentral:rRNA from 1 species
ACGCUGGCGGCGUGCCUAAUACAUGCAAGUAGAACGCUGAAGCUUGGUGCUUGCACCGAGCGGAUGAGUUGCGAACGGGUGAGUAACGCGUAGGUAACCUGCCUCUUAGCGGGGGAUAACUAUUGGAAACGAUAGCUAAUACCGCAUAAAAGACGAUAUCGCAUGAUAUUGAUUUGAAAGGUGCAAUUGCAUCACUAAGAGAUGGACCUGCGUUGUAUUAGCUAGUUGGUGAGGUAACGGCUCACCAAGGCGACGAUACAUAGCCGACCUGAGAGGGUGAUCGGCCACACUGGGACUGAGACACGGCCCAGACUCCUACGGGAGGCAGCAGUAGGGAAUCUUCGGCAAUGGGGGCAACCCUGACCGAGCAACGCCGCGUGAGUGAAGAAGGUUUUCGGAUCGUAAAGCUCUGUUGUAAGAGAAGAACGAGUGUGAGAGUGGAAAGUUCACACUGUGACGGUAACUUACCAGAAAGGGACGGCUAACUACGUGCCAGCAGCCGCGGUAAUACGUAGGUCCCGAGCGUUAUCCGGAUUUAUUGGGCGUAAAGCGAGCGCAGGCGGUUAGAUAAGUCUGAAGUUAAAGGCUGUGGCUUAACCAUAGUACGCUUUGGAAACUGUUUAACUUGAGUGCAGAAGGGGAGAGUGGAAUUCCAUGUGUAGCGGUGAAAUGCGUAGAUAUAUGGAGGAACACCGGUGGCGAAAGCGGCUCUCUGGUCUGUAACUGACGCUGAGGCUCGAAAGCGUGGGGAGCAAACAGGAUUAGAUACCCUGGUAGUCCACGCCGUAAACGAUGAGUGCUAGGUGUUGGGUCCUUUCCGGGACUCAGUGCCGCAGCUAACGCAUUAAGCACUCCGCCUGGGGAGUACGACCGCAAGGUUGAAACUCAAAGGAAUUGACGGGGGCCCGCAC